rnacentral:tRNA from 1 species
GGAGAGGUGGGUGAGUGGCUGAAACCACCAGUUUGCUAAACUGACGUACUGGGUAACCGGUACCACGGGUUCGAAUCCCGUCCUCUCCGCCA